GAUGAACGCUGGCGGCGUGCCUAACACAUGCAAGUCGAGCGAUUCUCUUCGGAGAAGAGCGGCGGACGGGUGAGUAACGCGUGGGUAACCUGCCCUGUACACACGGAUAACAUACCGAAAGGUAUGCUAAUACGAGAUAAUAUGCUUUUAUCGCAUGGUAGAAGUAUCAAAGCUCCGGCGGUACAGGAUGGACCCGCGUCUGAUUGGCUAGUAGGUAAGGUAACGGCUUACCAAGGCGACGAUCAGUAGCCGACCUGAGAGGGUGAUCGGCCACAUUGGAACUGAGACACGGUCCAAACUCCUACGGGAGGCAGCAGUGGGGAAUAUUGCACAAUGGGCGAAAGCCUGAUGCAGCAACGCCGCGUGAGCGAUGAAGGCCUUCGGGUCGUAAAGCUCUGUCCUCAAGGAAGAUAAUGACGGUACUUGAGGAGGAAGCCCCGGCUAACUACGUGCCAGCCGCCGCCGUAA
rnacentral:rRNA from 1 species